rnacentral:rRNA from 1 species
GCAGUCGAGCGGGGAAUGGUAGCUUGCUACCUGACCUAGCGGCGGACGGGUGAGUAAUGCUUAGGAAUCUGCCUAUUAGUGGGGGACAACAUUCCGAAAGGAAUGCUAAUACCGCAUACGCCCUACGGGGGAAAGCAGGGGAUCUUCGGACCUUGCGCUAAUAGAUGAGCCUAAGUCAGAUUAGCUAGUUGGUGGGGUAAAGGCCUACCAAGGCGACGAUCUGUAGCGGGUCUGAGAGGAUGAUCCGCCACACUGGGACUGAGACACGGCCCAGACUCCUACGGGAGGCAGCAGUGGGGAAUAUUGGACAAUGGGCGAAAGCCUGAUCCAGCCAUGCCGCGUGUGUGAAGAAGGCCUUUUGGUUGUAAAGCACUUUAAGCGAGGAGGAGGCUACCUGGAUUAAUACUCUUGGAUAGUGGACGUUACUCGCAGAAUAAGCACCGGCUAACUCUGUGCCAGCAGCCGCGGUAAUACAGAGGGUGCGAGCGUUAAUCGGAUUUACUGGGCGUAAAGCGUGCGUAGGCGG